AUCAUCCUUUCGCCUAAAAGGUUUCCUCUGGCAAACGAUCACAGCAGGCAUCACACCUUCCAGAGAUUUGGUUUACCUUUUUUCACGGUGGCCAUCACCAUAUCGCCCACACAAUUUGAAGGAAGCCUGUUAAGCCUGCCCUUGAUGCCCUUGACAGGUUUUGGUUAUACUCUAUUCAUUAUCUCCUAUUUGUGGACCAUGGAAUGGAUUAAAUAGUUAGGAUGCCACAAUCUGGAAGAUUUCACAUUUAAUAAGAAGCAAAAUGUUUGUCUUGAAUGAGUGAUUGGCCCUCACUUUUGAACAAGAUAUUUCGCCAAUUGAAACUUUUUUUUGUACUGCAUCCAAGCUUAUUUCCAUGAGUGGCAUGUCUCAAAUGGAAGCAGCCUGGAUGGUUUUGAUUAUUAGGCAUCUACUUUUUGUUUGAAGGACUUUAUCCUUGAGCCCUUCUUUUCUCUUAAAGUCCAUUUUUUAAUUUCCAGCACUCUUGAACAGAUCAAUUUCCAGGCCUGCUGGUUUUUAUUUAGAUACGCCAAAGAUGCUGCUAAUCGGCUGGAUUGAGGAAAUCAAUCAACAGCAAGCAAAAGUACUAGAUGCCCAACUGACGGUUGAGCAGCUUCAACAACGAGAUCAGUUGCUCACGGCCCAAAAUGAGAUGUUGAAGGCUAAUCCCAAGAGGAAGGUUGCAGAAUUGGAUGAGAUGGUGAAGAAACUUUUUGGAUCACAAGACAUCCAAAAAUGGGUUCACCAACCCACGAAGAUCCAGGCAUGAACACAUAUAUGAAUUGAUUUUUUAUUUUUUAUUUUUUCCAAAUUCUAUAUGCCAAAGUUUACUCAAUCUUGCAGGAGAACAGCUUUCUGAGGAUCGGCAAAGAGGAACUUUCCAAGAGGCUAGCCCAUUCUAUAUGCCCUAUGAAUGCUAAGGAAAUUACAUUUCGAACUCCUGUAACUGCACUAUUGAGCCUAAGCCCUAUGAAUGCUAAGGAAAUUACAUUUGGAUAAUUUGGGGAUUUGGAUUGGAAUGUUGUUCGGCACAGUUGUUCAUACUCUUGUACUAUCUUACCUUACAUGGAGGACUGACUGGGACAAUCAGAAGGGAGGCAACCGUUGGAUCUUCAAAUCAAUCGUGCCAGGAGCCCACCCACCAUCCAACAGCCAACCAUAACUGAAACCAUAACCUAUGGGCAAUUUUUU